UACGUAGGGAGCGAGCGUUAUCCGGAUUUAUUGGGUGUAAAGGGUGCGUAGGCGGUUUAUUAAGUCUGAGGUUUAAGUCCGGAGCUCAACUCCGGUUCGCCGCAGAAACUGAUUUACUUGAGUAUGGUAGAGGCAAGUGGAAUUUCUAGUGUAGCGGUAAAAUGCGUAGAUAUUAGAAGGAACACCAGUGGCGAAGGCGACUCGCUGGGCCAUUACUGACGCUGAGGCACGAAAGCGUGGGGAGCAAAUA
rnacentral:rRNA from 1 species